rnacentral:rRNA from 1 species
UCGAUGAGUAGGGCGGGACACGUGGUAUCCUGUCUGAAUAUGGGGGGACCAUCCUCCAAGGCUAAAUACUCCUGACUGACCGAUAGUGAACCAGUACCGUGAGGGAAAGGCGAAAAGAACCCCGGCGAGGGGAGUGAAAAAGAACCUGAAACCGUGUACGUACAAGCAGUGGGAGCCCCACCACCAAAGCAUUUGCUGUACCGCGUUGACGGAGCGAAGCGACGUCAAACCGAUAAAACAGCAGUGUAAAGUGAGCCGCAGGGCGCUUUGCGCGACAGCGCAAAGGCAGGCGGUUUCGCGUAGCGAAAGCGAAUGCUUUGGGGUGGGGUGACUGCGUACCUUUUGUAUAAUGGGUCAGCGACUUAUAUUCUGUAGCAAGGUUAACCGAAUAGGGGAGCCGGAGGGAAACCGAGUCUUAACCGGGCGUUAAGUUGCAGGGUAUAGACCCGAAACCCGGUGAUCUAGCCAUGGGCAGGUUGAAGGUUGGGUAACACUAACUGGAGGACCGAACCGACUAAUGUUGAAAAAUUAGCGGAUGACCUGUGGCUGGGGGUGAAAGGCCAAUCAAACCGGGAGAUAGCUGGUUCUCCCCGAAAGCUAUUUAGGUAGCGCCUCGUGAAUUCAUCUCCGGGGGUAGAGCACUGUUUCGGCUAGGGGGCCAUCCCGGCUUACCAACCCGAUGCAAACUGCGAAUACCGGAGAAUGUUAUCACGGGAGACACACGGCGGGUGCUAACGUCCGUCGUGAAGAGGGAAACAACCCAGACCGCCAGCUAAGGUCCCAAAGUCAUGGUUAAGUGGGAAACGAUGUGGGAAGGCCCAGACAGCCAGGAUGUUGGCUUAGAAGCAGCCAUCAUUUAAAGAAAGCGUAAUAGCUCACUGGUCGAGUCGGCCUGCGCGGAAGAUGUAACGGGGCUAAACCAUGCACCGAAGCUGCGGCAGCGACACUAUGUGUUGUUGGGUAGGGGAGCGUUCUGUAAGCCUGUGAAGGUGUGUCGUGAGGCAUGCUGGAGGUAUCAGAAGUGCGAAUGCUGACAUAAGUAACGAUAAAGCGGGUGAAAAGCCCGCUCGCCGGAAGACCAAGGGUUCCUGUCCAACGUUAAUCGGGGCAGGGUGAGUCGACCCCUAAGGCGAGGCCGAAAGGCGUAGUCGAUGGGAAACGGGUUAAUAUUCCCGUACUUGGUGUUACUGCGAAGGGGGGACGGAGAAGGCUAUGUUGGCCGGGCGACGGUUGUCCCGGUUUAAGCGUGUAGGUGUGUGUUCCAGGUAAAUCCGGUU